GGGUGAGUAACACGUGGGUAACCUGCCCAAGAGACUGGGAUAACACCUGGAAACAGAUGCUAAUACCGGAUAACAACACUAGACGCAUGUCUAGAGUUUGAAAGAUGGUUCUGCUAUCACUCUUGGAUGGACCUGCGGUGCAUUAGCUAGUUGGUAAGGUAACGGCUUACCAAGGCAAUGAUGCAUAGCCGAGUUGAGAGACUGAUCGGCCACAUUGGGACUGAGACACGGCCCAAACUCCUACGGGAGGCAGCAGUAGGGAAUCUUCCACAAUGGACGAAAGUCUGAUGGAGCAACGCCGCGUGAGUGAAGAAGGGUUUCGGCUCGUAAAGCUCUGUUGGUAGUGAAGAAAGAUAGAGGUAGUAACUGGCCUUUAUUUGACGGUAAUUACUUAGAAAGUCACGGCUAACUACGUGCCAGCAGCCGCGGUAAUACGUAGGUGGCAAGCGUUGUCCGGAUUUAUUGGGCGUAAAGCGAGUGCAGGCGGUUCAAUAAGUCUGAUGUGAAAGCCUUCGGCUCAACCGGAGAAUUGCAUCAGAAACUGUUGAACUUGAGUGCAGAAGAGGAGAGUGGAACUCCAUGUGUAGCGGUGGAAUGCGUAGAUAUAUGGAGGAACACCAGUGGCGAAGGCGGCUCUCUGGUCUGUAACUGACGCUGAGGCUCGAAAGCAUGGGUAGCGAACAGGAUUAGAUACCCUGGUAGUCCAUGCCGUAAACGAU
rnacentral:rRNA from 1 species